rnacentral:rRNA from 1 species
UGGGGAAUAUUGGACAAUGGGCGAAAGCCUGACCCAGCAACGCCGCGUGAAGGAUGAAGUAUUUCGGUAUGUAAACUUCGUAAGAAUAGGAAGAAUAAAUGACGGUACUAUUUGUAAGGUCCGGCUAACUACGUGCCAGCAGCCGCGGUAAUACGUAGGGACCAAGCGUUGUUCGGAUUUACUGGGCGUAAAGGGCGCGUAGGCGGUUUGUCAAGUCAGUUGUGAAAUCUCCGAGCUUAACUCGGAACGGUCAACUGAUACUGUCAAACUAGAGUACAGAAGGGGCAAUCGGAAUUCUUGGUGUAGCGGUGAAAUGCGUAGAUAUCAAGAGGAACACCUGAGGCGAAGGCGGGUUGCUGGGCUGAUACUGACGCUGAAGCGCGAAAGCUAGGGUAGCAAACGGGAUUAGAUACCCCGGUAGUCCCUGAGCGGGCUGGCAAGGCGCAU